rnacentral:rRNA from 1 species
ACUGCUCAGUAACACGUGGAUAACCUGCCCUUGGGUCCGGCAUAACCCCGGGAAACUGGGGAUAAUUCCGGAUAACGCACAUAUGCUGGAAUGCUUUAUGCGUAAAAUGGAUUCGUCUGCCCAAGGAUGGGUCUGCGGCCUAUCAGGUAGUAGUGGGUGUAAUGUACCUACUAGCCUACAACGGGUACGGGUUGUGAGAGCAAGAGCCCGGAGAUGGAUUCUGAGACAUGAAUCCAGGCCCUACGGGGCGCAGCAGGCGCGAAAACUUUACAAUGCGGGAAACCGUGAUAAGGGGACACCGAGUGCCAGCAUCAUAUGCUGGCUGUCCAGGUGUGUAAAAUACACCUGUUAGCAAGGGCCGGGCAAGACCGGUGCUAGCCGCCGCGGUAACACCGGCGGCCCGAGUGGUGAUCGUGAUUAUUGGGUCUAAAGGGUCCGUAGCCGGUUUGGUCAGUCCUCCGGGAAAUCUGACGGCUUAACCGUUAGGCUUUCGGGGGAUACUGCCAGGCUUGGAACCGGGAGAGGUAAGAGGUACUACAGGGGUAGGAGUGAAAUCUUGUAAUCCCUGUGGGACCACCUGUGGCGAAGGCGUCUUACCAGAACGGGUUCGACGGUGAGGGACGAAAGCUGGGGGCACGAACCGGAUUAGAUACCCGGGUAGUCCCAGCCGUAAACGAUGCUCGCUAGGUGUCAGGCAUGGCGCGACCGUGUCUGGUGCCGCAGGGAAGCCGUGAAGCGAGCCACCUGGGAAGUACGGCCGCAAGGCUGAAACUUAAAGGAAUUGGCGGGGGAGCAC